UUCCUCUCAAGAACAACAACAUUUAACCUGCAUAUGAGAAUGAGAGAUCAUGUACACCAAUUGACCCUUAUUCUUCUUCCUCUUCCAUCUCUUUCUCUGACCAUCAUCAAUUCCAGCAACAAAAACCACCCAAUUGACCCUUAAUCUUAAUCUUUGAUGAAUUUGUGUUUUGUUAUAUGGGUUUUGUAAUUCAAAACCAUCAUGAAGGUCCGAUUAAUGAAAAUGAGGGAGGCCCACACCCAAAAAAGGCGGUCGUGCUUCCUUCUGCUCGCUCGUAUGGGACCAGAAAGCCGAACAUCUCGUCACCGCUUCCUCUUCCGAUGUCUCCAUCUCGAUUCAUAACCCUCUUCUUCCUUCUGCUGCUCUCAAGAUUCUCUGUCAUCACGGUGACGGUGUUACUGCUUUGGCUCUUAGCCCUAAUUCCACUUGUCUUGCUUCUGGAUCUGUCGAUCACUCCGUUAAACUCUACAAGUUUCCAGCAAUGAAAUUCAGUAAUUGUAUGGUAUGCAUAUUUGACGCAUUGAUGAUGGUCAGAGAAAGAUGGAAGAAGGAGAAGAAUAAGGGUCAAUUGGUGUGCAUGGAUCUCUUAUUUGGAGGGCCAAAUGUUGUUGUUCUUGAGAUUGAGAGGAAGAAGAAAUAAAAGAUUUUAUUUUUUUUUGUUACUAAGAAAUAAAAGAUUAAGAUUUUGAUUUUAUUUUUAA